GAGCCAAUGAAAAGUCGGUGCGGUCCAUCUUGGAUUUUGUCGACGGUUGGAGAGGAAAGGCGUGACGGGGAUUAUUAUGGGAUGGAUGUGAUUACGCGGCACAUAUUGUGUACCAUUAGUCACACGGCGUCCCGCCGCACGCUGAGUAGCUCACGCCGCCGCAGCCCUUUAUUUGCCUUUUCGAGCGGUUGUUUUGAACCCACGUAGCCUGCGGGAGCCACGCGCUGUGGGAACACCCCACGAAGCAAACAACUGUGGAGGCCACUUUACAGAUCAAGAGCAGCGAGGGGAUGCUUCAAGACAAACAACCCAAAGCAGAAUUCCAAUGAAACCACACCAGUGUCCAAAGUGGCGCACUUCCAGACGACCGCGGUUACUUGCUCAACUUGAAUGCCGACGCUGAGAAAGCAAACUGAGCGAUUCAGUGAGUGACACACACACACACACACACACAGAGUCC